UACAGAGGGGGCAAGCGUUGUUCGGAAUUACUGGGCGUAAAGGGCGCGUAGGUGGCCUUCUAAGUUGAACGUGAAAUCCCUGGGCUCAACCCAGGAACUGCGUCCAAGACUGGGAGGCUUGAAUCCGGGAGAGGGAUGCGGAAUUCCAGGUGUAGCGGUGAAAUGCGUAGAUAUCAGGAGGAACACCGAUGGCGAAGGCAGGUCUCUGGGCUGACACUGACGCUCAUGCACGAAAGCGUGGGGAGCAAACAGG
rnacentral:rRNA from 1 species